rnacentral:rRNA from 1 species
GAUGAACGCUGGCUACAGGCUUAACACAUGCAAGUCGAGGGGAAACGACGGGGAAGCUUGCUUCCCCGGGCGUCGACCGGCGCACGGGUGAGUAACGCGUAUCCAACCUGCCUCUGACUGAGGGAUAACCCGUCGAAAGUCGGCCUAAUACCUCAUGGCAUCGUCUGCGGGCAUCCAACGACGAUUAAAGAUUUCAUCGGUCAGGGAUGGGGAUGCGUCUGAUUAGCUUGUUGGCGGGGUAACGGCCCACCAAGGCUACGAUCAGUAGGGGUUCUGAGAGGAAGGUCCCCCACAUUGGAACUGAGACGCGGUCCAAACUCCUACGGGAGGCAGCAGUGAGGAAUAUUGGUCAAUGGGCUAGAGCCUGAACCAGCCAAGUAGCGUGCAGGAUGACUGCCCUGUGGUUUGUAAACUGCUUUUAUGCGGUGAUGAAGUGAGGGACGUGUCCUUCAUUGCAGGGACCGCAUGAAGAAAGACGGGCUAAUCCGUGCCUGCAUGCGGUGUUAUACGGAGGUUCCUGUCGUUAUCCGGAUUUUUGGUUUUUGAGUGUACUGAUGGUGUGUUAUUUGCUUGGUUGUGAAUGUAGUGCUGCAGUGUCUGGCGCUGCAUCACGUGUGUGGGGCCUGUGGUGUUGGUGCUGCGCAUGUGGUG